UCAACUACGUCAAUAAGGC
rnacentral:misc_RNA from 1 species